rnacentral:rRNA from 1 species
GGACCUCCAAUCAAGCAGGGCUACCCGCUGAAUUUAAGCAUAUAACUAAGCGGAGGAAAAGAAACUAACCAGGAUUCCCUCAGUAACGGCGAGUGAAGCGGGAACAGCUCACCAUGAGAAUCUGAAAGGUCUUGCCUUUCCGAGUUGUAGUCUCUAGAAGCGCAGCCAGCAGACGGAGAGGGUUAAGUCCCUUGGAACAGGGCGCCUGAGAGGGUGACAGUCCCGUUCAUACUCUCUCCAUUCUGCGUACGGCGUGCUCUCAGUGAGUCGAGUUGCUUGGGAUUGCAGCUCAAAGUGGGUGGUAAAUUCCAUCUAAGGCUAAAUAUGGGUGGGAGACCGAUAGCGAACAAGUACUGUGAAGGAAAGAUGCAAAGAACUUUGAAAAGAGAGUUAAAGAGUGCCUGAAAUUGCUGAAAGGGAAGGAAAGGAAGUCAGUGUGAUUCUCUGUCAUUUUCCCACUCGCCUUCGGGAGAGUGGCCGUGGCAGGGAGUUGGUCAGGAUGGUUCGAGCUGCGGGAUUAGGGUGUGGGGAAGGUUGGUCGCACCUCGGUGUGAUCGUUAUAUCCCCCGCAUUCCUGUCGCAGCGUCGGACCGAGGUCAACUGUGCGCUUUGCUGCGCCUUCGGGUGCAUGCACAGUCUGGAUCCUGACG